rnacentral:rRNA from 1 species
GGGUUGUGAGGUUAAGCGACUAAGCGUACACGGUGGAUGCCCUGGCAGUCAGAGGCGAUGAAGGGCGUGCUAAUCUGCGAUGAGCGCCGGUAAGGUGAUAUGAACCGUUAUAACCGGCGAUACCCGAAUGGGGAAACCCAGUGUGACUCGUCACACUAUCAUUAACUGAAUCCAUAGGUUAAUGAGGCGAACCGGGGGAACUGAAACAUCUAAGUACCCCGAGGAAAAGAAAUCAACCGAGAUUCCCCCAGUAGCGGCGAGCGAACGGGGAGGAGCCCAGAGCCUGAAUCAGCAUGUGUGUUAGUGGAAGCGUCUGGAAAGGCGCGCGAUACAGGGUGACAGCCCCGUACACAAAAGCGCAUGUGUUGUGAGCUCGAUGAGUAGGGCGGGACACGUGGUAUCCUGUCUGAAUAUGGGGGGACCAUCCUCCAAGGCUAAAUACUCCUGACUGACCGAUAGUGAACCAGUACCGUGAGGGAAAGGCGAAAAGAACCCCGGCGAGGGGAGUGAAAAAGAACCUGAAACCGUGUACGUACAAGCAGUGGGAGCCCCACCACUAAGCCAGUGGUGAACUCCACAUACGCAUCCUUUGCUGAGGAUACGGUUAACGGAGCGAAAGCGACGUUCAACCGCAAAAGAAGCAGAGGGGGCUUAGUGGUGGGGUGACUGCGUACCUUUUGUAUAAUGGGUCAGCGACUUAUAUUCUGUAGCAAGGUUAACCGUAUAGGGGAGCCGUAGGGAAACCGAGUCUUAAC